rnacentral:SRP_RNA from 1 species
AGAAGAAGUGGACCACCAGGGAGGCCGCCCUCAACAUGAUCACUGAGUUCAACACCGUCGCCCCCAAGCAGCUCGGCGCCGCCCUCCCCGAGAUCGUCCCCGAGGUCACCGCUUGCAUGUGGGACACCA